UACGUAGGUGGCAAGCGUUAUCCGGAUUUAUUGGGCGUAAAGAGCGCGCAGGUGGUUAAUUAAGUCUGAUGUGAAAGCCCACGGCUUAACCGUGGAGGGUCAUUGGAAACUGGUUGACUUGAGUGCAGAAGAGGGAAGUGGAAUUCCAUGUGUAGCGGUGAAAUGCGUAGAUAUAUGGAAGAACACCAGUGGCGAAAGCGGCUCUCUGGUCUGUAACUGACGCUGAGGUUCGAAAGCGUGGGUAGCAAACAGG
rnacentral:rRNA from 1 species